GUAGCUUUGAAACUCUGUUUUUAAACUGAAAACGACGUCUCCGUUCGUAAGUGAUAACUCUCUCGUUUUAGCUCCAAAUUUCGUUCCGUUUGAUUCCUGAGAUUGUAGACUCAGCCAUCUACAAGUCCGAGCUUAGUUUUCACACAACGCCGUUCGGAGGUCGAAAUCAAUUCCGUUUGUUUCCCGUGAAAGUAGACUCACGCAUCUACGUUUCUACACCUUUCGUUCGUCAAACGACCCGUCGACUGCUCGUGCUUCGGAGUCUACGCAGGGUUAGCUGUUUGCCAAGAUCACGUGGAUAAGCAAGCAGUUUAUGAUUUGAAAGCUGGUCCACUCCGAUUCUUUGAUUCCUCGGAGGUUUUUAUGUUAUUAAACUAGUUUCUAUUUUUCGAACUCUUAGACCGCAGUAGA